rnacentral:rRNA from 1 species
GAUGAACGCUGACAGAAUGCUUAACACAUGCAAGUCGAUGGGGAAGUGGUGCUUGCACCAUGGUAACCAUGGCGGACGGGUGAGUAACACGUAAGGAACUUACCUGCGGGACCGGGAUAACAGCAGGAAACUGCUGACAAGACCGGAUAAGGUCAUUAAGCUGCAUAGCUUAGUGAUGAAAGGAGACGCCUGCGGAGAGCCUUGCGUCCUAUUAGCUAGUUGGAGGGGUAACGGCCCACCAAGGCGAAGAUAGGUAGCCGGCCUGAGAGGGUGGACGGCCACAAGGGGACUGAGAGACGGCCCUUACUCCUACGGGAGGCAGCAGUGGGGAAUAUUGGACAAUGGGGGCAACCCUGAUCCAGCAAUUCUGUGUGCACGAAGACGGUUUUCGGAUUGUAAAGUGCUUUCAGCAGGGAAGAAGGAAGUGACGGUACCUGCAGAAGAAGCGACGGCUAAAUACGUG